rnacentral:snoRNA from 1 species
AUCCUUUUGUAGUCAUGAGUGUGAUGACUGGGUGUUCACGCACCUGCAUGAUGUGUGCCUCCCUCAAGCCUUGCUACGACAUUGGCACAUUAUCCGUCUGAUG